UUUAGUAUUUUAAAUUUUUAUUUUCAUUUGUUUUAGUAUUACCUAAGUUAACCUUCCUGAGGUAUGAGUACAUGCUGAAUGAAAUAAAAUCAAAGUGUUAUUUUCUUGGUUCUUUUAAUGUCUAACUUUAAAAGUUUUAAAGCUUUUUCUCUAAAGAGAAUACAUUCUAAUUAAUAUAAAUCUUGGUUUUGCCCAAGAAAAAUUUAAAUACCAAAAUUUUUACAAUAUGUUAUAUCAUAAAUUAAUUUUAGAGAUUCAGUGACGGGCAUAUUGGUUAAAAAGUGACUUGAAAAUUAACAAAAGUAGAAAAAUUAACAAAAAUAGGUAGUCACUAUCUGGAAAUUAACUAUUAAUUGGAAGGUAUUAGGCUCUGUAUUCUAUUAAGAGCAGGGAACAUAAUAAAACUCAAGCAUAGUGAUAUAAACAUGGAAAAUAUAUUUUAAAUAUAAAAAAAUGCAUACCUUUGAGAAAUAACACUUUGGAUUCUUUAAGAAACAAUUGCUUAAACUUUUUAAAAUUGUUUUCCUUUGAUUCAAUUUAAGAUUUUAUAACUAUAUGACAAAUUUGAAAAUUAUGGAAUAUUUUAAAGUUCUGAACUAAAAGUUUAACUGCAGCCUCCUGCUUUGUAUUCCCUUUUCCCUCCCUCAUUUAUAUCCUUUAUCCUUUGCUUAGCUCUGUGGUUUAUAAAUAAGUCUUUGGCGAGUUUGGUAGCCUUUUGAAAUUCUAAUUGACACCUCUGCUUAGUGCAGUGUGAAUUUUAUAAACUCACAACCAUUAUUACUACAUGUAAUAUGCAAAGCCUGAUUUCUAAGAUCCGAGGAAACUAGGAAGCCUUAUAUACUCUUUCACAGGACCUCAAAAAUAAAUGUCCUUGAUUUGAGAUGGGUUUAUUUUAGAAAGGAGAAGUUAAACUCUUACCCUGUAGUAAAGACUGUACUUUGCAAAGAGUUUUUGUAGGUAGCAAUAGCUCUAGUUGUAUGUUGUUAUUGCAUUAUUAAAUUGAGUCCAUUCCUAUUAAUGGUUUUCUCUCUUUUUUGGUAGGGACAAGUAGAUCAAUUGGUUUUUGAGACAGGGUUUCAUUAUAUAUAUAUAGCCCAGGCCAGCCUUGAGUUUGAGGUAUUUUGGUUUUUAUUUUUAAUUCUAAAUUAUUAAAACCUCAAACUUUAAUAAAUAGGAUAUAUUACAGUAUAGGAGGGACUUAUAUAAUAGUUUGCACUAAUGUGAAGAAAGUGAAGUUCGUUACAUUCCUGUCUUCUUUAAGGUGCAGUGCUUACUAAUGAAACCUUCACAAGGGUUUAAUACCUCUAGCCCUCAGAAGUCUCUUACUAACCUCUUUGAACCGUCCUUUAUGUAAUUCAUGUUAGAGGUACCAUAGUCUACAUCAAAGCAAAGUUUUUGUUAUAGAGUUGUUUGUUUUCUGUUAUAAUAAGCAAAGCUUAUUGAUUAAGAUGAAUAUCUCUCACCCAAAAUGCAUGGGGCCAAAAUAUCUUUCUUUACAUUUUCAAAAUUUGUCUACAUUUAAAAUAAGACCAAAGUUCAAACAUGAAAUUCAUUUAUAUUUCAUUAAUAUAUUAGUUUAAUGAUGAAAUUUGAUAAUGUGUCAAAUAGUUUUGAUCAUGAAACAGUUUGUGGUGUAUAGUUUAUCAUUUCAGAUAUGUCAACAUUCCAAAUUUGGAUUUUCAGAGGAUUUUGGAUUUCAGAUUUUCACAUUACAGAAAUUUAGCUUUUAGUGCUUUAACUUAACUUUAAUAUGAGCCUUAGACUCUCAAAUUGGCUUGAAUUCUACUUCCAGAUGUUUGGAAAACAUUUUUACUGCUAAGGGGCUUUGUAUGAGACUGGAUUCUAAUCCUCUGUUUUGGGACUAGUAAUGUAAGCAGUUUUCAUAUUUGUAUGAAUGUGUAAGAAGAAUAAAGAUUUCUUUUUUGGGUUGUAAUAUUUAAAUGAGACGCUAGAUCUUAAAACUCAGAUUUUCAUAGCUGAUUAUUCAUUUUGCAAUACUUAUUUUGUUAGCAGCCUUUAAUUUAGUCAGUAUUAGUAAAAUCCUUACCUGUACC
rnacentral:lncRNA from 1 species